UCUCUAUAUAAGUGCUUAAAAAGAAAAACAAUAUACAACAGUUCAGAAUUAUAAAUACAAAUAAUUAUAUCACAAAUCAAUGAUUAUAAUAUUUACCCUGUGUAACCCCCUCGGGGGAAAAAAAAAAAAAUAUAUAUAUAUAUACAUUAGGCAAAGGCAUUUUCGCGGGUUGGUAACUUUUAAUCACUCUCGACGCGCGCCGAACGUUUUAUAUUACUUUGUAAUAUAGAACAAUCGUCGGUCGCCGUGUUUUUUAAC